rnacentral:tRNA from 2 species
GGAUGGAUGGCCGAGUGGUUUAAGGCACUGGUCUUGAAAACCAGCGAAUCGAAAGGUUCCGUGGGUUCGAAUCCCACUCCAUCCGCCA